CCUACGGGUGGCAGCAGUAGGGAAUCUUCCACAAUGGACGCAAGUCUGAUGCAGCAACGCCGCGUGCGUGAAGAAGGGUUUCGGCUCGUAAAGCUCUGUUGAUAGUGAAGAAAGAUAGAGGUAGUAACUGGCCUUUAUUUGACGGUAAUUACUUAAAAAGUCGCGGCUAACUACGUGCCAGCAGCCGCGGUAAUACGUAGGGGGCAAGCGUUGUCCGGAUUUAUUGGGCGUAAAGCGAGUGCAGGCGGUUCAAUAAGUCUGAUGUGAAAGCCUUCGGCUCAACCGGAGAAUUGCAGCAGAAACUGGUGGACUUGAGUGCAGAAGAGGAGAGUGGAACUCCAUGUGUAGCGGUGGAAUGCGUAGAUAUAUGGAAGAACACCAGUGGCGAAGGCGGCUGUCUGGGCUGCAACUGACGCUGAGGCUCGAAAGCAUGGGUAGCGAACAGGAUUAGAUACCCGAGUAGUC
rnacentral:rRNA from 1 species